CAUCAAUCAAAUCAGAAGGUUGGACUCUGGUUUUCGGGGGCUGCUGUUGUUUUCCCAUGAAACCCUCACAGCCACACCCGGAAUGUCUUGAUGAGGACGACAAGAGCAGUCAUCCACAAAGACCCAGGCACUCAGGGGGUGCUCAACAGCUCUUCAGUGGGAAUGUGACAUCAUCAAACAUGAAGAGCAUCUCAAAAAACAUGACAUGAAGGAACGUCAAAGUGAGCAGAGUGAACUGGAAAAUGGAGACUAAGGAGUGGGGAUAAACAAAGGACUAAGAGGUGACUCUAACAUCUCCAGGACUGAGGACCACUGAGAAGCAAAGCAGGCAGGAAACACUAACAAGCUGCAAUCAACUAAUAUGACAUCUGAUUAGGCCAGAAGUGAUAGGAGAGGACUCUGGGGUGCCAGUGAGAUGAACCAAAGGAAAGGCUAAAGAAGGCCACCUUUUCAUGGACUGACAGGAAAGAGGUCUCACACUAUAGUUCAGGCUGGCCUCAAGGCCCCAGCACCUGGACUGCUGAGAUUAAUGAGCCUCCAGCCUUAAUGAUGAUGAUGAUGAUGAUGAUGAUGAUGAUGAUGAUGAUGAUGAUAAUGAGCUGAGUUCAAUCCCCAGAACCUACAUCUUCAAAGGAAAAAAGCCAGCCGUGGUGUUCACUUACAAUCUCAGCACAGAGGAGGAUCUAGAAUCAGCUAGAAGAUGAACAUGUGUGCAAAGGAAAUUCUAAAUAGUUCAUAGAGAUGAGAAGAUCCAUCCUCGAUGUGGGCAGCAUCAAUCUACAGGCUGAGAUCUUAGACCGCACAGAAAGG